ACUGAUCGCCAUUCUGUUUUCGUUGAAGCUAAUAUGGAUAAUAUGGAUAGUCCUUCGGACGACUAGAAAGGUGAAAAGAAGAUUUUCUCUCAAAUUCUCUAAUGGAUAGGACUGAGGCGCAUCAAAAAAAGGCUUUCAGAUGACCUUUCUUUUUGAAGAAAUAGGAUGAAUAGUCAUCUGGACCUUUGUUCAAAGUAAUAGUAUUCCGCAAUAUGCGCCUGUUCAAAGUCAAUAAAAGAAAAGAAGAAUUCACUCAUUAACUCGAAUUCAAGAAUAAUUCAGAUUUCAUAACCUUGUUUUUACGGAGGGAAAUACAUGAUUUUGCUAGGUUUUGCCCAUAGGGAAGUAGCAAGAAAUCAAGUCAAAUGCCUUCUUUUUUUCUCUAUUUUCGUUAAAUAGAAAGAUGAUAUUUAGUCCUAUUUUGCUUCAAAAAAGCCGGGAAAUUGCAAGGCAUUGUCCUAUUUGAUUUUCGAAAUGAACAUUGAUCAGUUCUAGUUUGAGUUUCUGGUCCGGAGAAAUACGGGUCUAUUCUUUAUUUCCCUCCACGAAGGACUAGUCUGAAAUCUCCCAUAUUCACCUCUUUCUUUUUCAUUCCCAUUUUGAGCUUCUUUCAUUAUCGUUAAUGAGCUUCUUUUCUUGACUUUUCACAGGUGCCAUAAGGGAUAUUCUUGAGAAGCGAAGCGCAUUCAAAGGAGAGGUGCAUAUUGGGAAGGCGAUCAGAAGAUUGAGAAUAUUGCGUGACAUCUGUGGAAUGAGUUCCGACUAGAAACUGAAAGUCAAGCUGAUGAUCUCAACUGCGUAAACGUAGUCAACUUUUUGAUGGAUGCCUUCUAUCCUUGAUUCCGAGACUAAGGAGUCAGAAUCGUUAUGAAACCGAGUAAACUAGCACUAGGUCUCACACCUCUCCCGGAACUGAGACUUGAACGUCUCGCCUUUCGCCUUUCUCCCUCACUCAGUCCGAGCGGCCGGCUUAGCAUCUCAACUUUGAACAUUCAGUCUCCUUCCUCUUUCUCGUCGAGCGAGUUCUUCUACUGUCAAAACUUCUUCGGUCCUUUUCCUUUGAAAGAGCUUGUGCCUCUGACUGGAAGAGUUACCACUCAUAGCGGCUUAGCUUCUAUUUUGUAGAAAUCCUUCUUGGGAAAGCAAACCUAUCCCGCUACGUGGGCAACAAAGGAAGUAAAGAGGUCCCGCCCCUUCUCUCCUUAGCACAGCAAGCACGAACAUAGGCUCGGCAGAGAGAGAGCUAGAAGCCGAUCGACCGAGUCAACUCUUUUCAUUGGGAUUCUUUAGUUAGGGGAAUAUUUCUUAUUGGGAUUAUAUCGUGAAUUGGGGAUUUCUCCCGGACACAUCUAAAGACUGAAGCAUCAGAGACUGAAGCCGAUACAGGAAGCGCCGAAAGAGAGAAUACAGCUCCCCCUAGUUAGGAGAUUUUGGAUAGCUCUGCGGUCAGUCCUUCGGACCAGAUGAGUCAGAAAGAUUUCCUUAAGGACUGAUUUAUGGAAUUUCAUUCUUAUGGCUCGCGUAGGAGCAGUCCACUCCAUAAAAGUCAAUGGAAGGAAGAAGAAGAAGAUAAGACUGCGGUGAAGAUGAACGGAAAAUCUUCUAAUGGAUAGGACUGAGGGCGAGACUGGUCCUCCGGACUUGUUUAAUGGAUAGGUCAACUCAUCUGGAGCUUGAUUUUUCUUUGAUAAAUACUCGCAAUAUUCUUUGCGCCUUUAUUCCACUCAAACUUUCUUCUAUGUUACCAACAAGAUAUAAGUCGAGAAUCAAGCUCUUCGGAUUCUUUUGGACUCAGCACUCCCUCCCGCUCCCUCAAAUUCUUUCUCAAUCUUCUUUGAGCCUUAUUUUACAGAUAAAUGCGCUUCCCUUCGCGCCCUUUGUUCAUUGAUCCUUAUUAACACUCUACAUGCUCCAGUCCCUUAUCUUGAGUGUAAUAGUUGUCCAGUGAGAAAUAGUGCAGCGCCUGGCCUGCACUGCCCACGUUGUGCAGGCUGAUCACUGGCGCACCUCACUCAUCCUGGAAGACUGCGUCUACGCAAUAAUGCAUUGAAGAACUCUAUUUGCUAACCGAUCUUCAUCUCCGUUAUAGGCUUCUAUGGAUGCCUGAAUCAUCUCUUCCCGGCCAGUCUCGCUCCAAUCGAUCCUAUGGCCAGCUACUUGGGCCAAUUGCCAGAUAAACUCGCGUUGUGUGCGACCCUUACCCUCACGGAAUGGAUGCAAAAGGUUGAUUUCGAACGAUUGGGAGAUAAACAAAGGUCCAAAAAAGAAAAGGUCCAGAUGACUUUAUCAAGCUUAUUAAGUGCUUUCGUCUUAUUUAUUUUGAGGUUUACACGCUGACUGAAAAGAAGCGCAUCCAAUCCUUGCAAGUCUCGCUCCUGAGGGAGCUGGUAGAAGAGCUUCCGGGCCGCGCUCUCAAUCGUCAUUUGACGGGCAAAGGACUCGACCAGCGGCAGAGGAUCAAGGGCGAGACUUCCCCAGGAUGGAGGAAUCCAUCUUGAGUCAGAGGUAUAGCUUUCUCCUCUUUCAUGAGUUUCAUAGUCAGAAGAAAGCCACUCUUUUGAUCGUUUAGAAAGAGUAUUCAAUUACUAUGCGGUUCAAAGGAAUAACUAGAAAAAGAGGAAGAGGAACCCCCACUACGCGGUGCGGAAGCUGCCCACUACGCGGUUGAGUCCCACGCUUUUUCAGUGAGAAAUCAGUCGAUGAAAUUGAGAAGGGACUUAAUAGGCUGAAUUCAAUAUGAGUCGACUGAGUAGAAAUAGAAAAGUCCAAGACCUAGUUCACGAAGUCGAGAUCAGAAGCUCGACCCACUACGCGGUUAGGAAGGAGAGAGAGAGAGAAUUCCUCAUAUGCUCUCCCGAGUGGAAAGGUUUCCUCCCUAGAUAGGAUAAUUGAGUAACCCGAGGCUCAUAGGGAUUUUUUCAAGCGAGAACUAUCUAUCUACGAUUGGGAAGACCGGCCUCGUCUCAUUCAUCAAUCGGAAUUCAGAGGCGGACCUAGUUUAGAUCGCAAUAAAUGCGAGAACCGUAGACCAGAUUGAGUAGUGCUCUUUCCCUUCGUUGGGUAGAAAAGAGAGAGGGGCUAGGCAGAGGAUCAGCCGCUAAGAAAAGGACCAGAAUCCCGAAAAAGAAAGAUUGCCACUACGCGGUGAGGACUAGCCUCGCGAAGAGCUAGAAGACUGAGUAGACUGAUCCUGGAAGAGUGAGGAAAGACGGGUAGAGAAGUAUUUAUGCGUAAAUACGGGUAAGAGAGGGCUAGGCCCCACCCUUGCGCCAUUAAUAAGUACUCUUUUUUCACUGAAAUAGGAAUGAGGUAAGAGAGAGGCUAGGCCCUUACCCUUAAGAGCGCAGGAUAAGCCGCUCGUAUUCAGUCUACGAAUACUUAGAGGUUCAAAGACUCCCAAUCCGUGACCCAGAAGACAGAAAGAACUCCUUUUGACUUGACUAAAGAUGAACCGAAAAUCUCCACUGUCUUUUUUUUAGUGGAAUCAGACUCAAGAGGAGCGGUCUCGAAAUCUGGGUUAAUAUGGAUAGUCCGGAGGACCUAACGGAGUUGAAUUACGAAUUAGCGGCUCGACUGAGAUGGAGGAGAGGUGCAAAGAAUAUUGCGUCGCCGUAGGUAGGAGUCUUAAGUCCGGAACCCGAGGUCCGAGGUCGUGGUCCACUAUUUGAGACUAAAAGGGUACAUCCGCUCAAGGUCCCAGUUUCGAGCAAAUAAAGAGGAUCUGGUCCCAGUAGAAGGAGUGGCUGGAAAAGGGAAGUUGGGAUCCGCCGUCAAUUAUCCGAAGUUCAGUGGACGGUAGGCUGAAAUGGUGAGUUGCGCCUACAUUAAUUACCUACUUUGACCGCAGAGUGGGAGCCUACUAAGUCUUUCUGAUGCGCCCUAUUUUUCAUGCCCUAAGAUUGGAUUCGUUUGGACUGUUCGGAGUCAAAGAGAAUGAAGAAAGACCUUACUUACGCUCAUCGAUCCAAUUCGGAAACAAAGGCAGAGUGCCGGGUAAAGAGUUCCCGUCUUUCAAGAAGUUAGGGAUCUCCGCCCCGAGGUUGGGAGUUUUUGUCCUGAUGGAUAAUACAGUGCAUCCAUUUUCUUUCAUCCUCCCUUAUCGUUCAUAUCAACAAAGAUAUUUCAUAGCUUUCAGAACCGCUACGUGGGUAUCGAGGUGGAUAAGGCGCGAACAGCAGCCAAAGAACCUACGUUCCCAACAGCAGCAUGGGAAUGCCCCGGCCGCCUAAGACAACGAGGGGGACCCCCAGGCCAGAUCAGUGGCAUCCGCUGAAAGGGCAGUUGGUAGCCGUCCUUCGUCUUCUUUAUUAACCCGUAAAAUCUUGCUUAGUUGCAGACGUUAGGAGCAAAGAAUAUUGCGAGAACCUCCGGACUAUCCAUUAGAAUUAGACAUAUUCAUAUUUUCAAAAAAAAAGGCUCAAAGAAAGGUGCAGUUGAGGAGCAAAGAAUAUUGCCUUCCACAUAUUAAGCUGCGACUGAGGCGCAAUGAAAUAUGCGAUUGAGAAGAACAAGAACUGAAAGGGCAACCAGCACUGUACGAACCACCGCCUCAAUGAACAAGGCUACAAGACCUAGAACUCACUCGAUCGGCAACUUCCCUUUCUCGAAUUCCUGGAGCAAGAAAUGAAAGGGGAGACUGAAAGAGAGCCAGCGUGCUUGCCUCCCUCCGACUGAAAAAAGAAGAGUGCUUGAGGCUAAACCUUCUCGUUAUGAUAGAUCCAACAAUGCUGGUUGGUGUUGGGGAGUUUGGGAGUUUCUUUCUCCUGUCUGAACUUCCUUCCUUAGACCUAGAGGUCUAGCUAUCCUACUCGUUCAUUCAUUGUACAAUAGUAAGAAUCUGCCGCUUUUAAGCUAAGCAACUCCGACUAUCUUCAUGCUACGGGGACUCAAACAUAUACUUCCCAUUCAAGGGGCUAGAGCGAGCGUAAACCCUUUCUUAUCUGACUGUGCCUGCUUACAGUGCUUGGUCGAGUUUGUGCCGACUUUCUUCCCCUGACGCAACUCUCUACUUAUACUGAUUAUUGACCUUCCCCCGUGGUGGGAUCGACCAUUUGUCUUUUCAUUCAUCCUUGAAAUUCAGUAAUUAAGCCUUUCAUGAAUGAGAGAUAGAUCGAACCACGGGAGCGGACUAGUGGCGGAAUGGUGAAUGACAAAUGCUACCGCCAUAAGAAUGGGACCUCUUCUCCUAAACUAAACGUCUCGCAACUUUCUUCUACCCCACUCCUAGGUUCAUCAGGCGCCCAAUGGUUGAACUUGGUAUCGUAGACCUUCCUUCCUAUACCCCUUUCUUCUUCUUCUCUUUUCUUAAGGAAGGGGUUGCUUCGUUCAUCGCCUAAGGCUGAUUUCUGAAAAUCAAGGAUUAACGCCCGUGCAAACUCAGUGGUUAUUGAACCUAAAAUUGGACUAGAUUGAUGAGUUUGAUCCUUUCUAGUCAAGGUGGUACGCGUUUGCACUCCAUUUUCUGAAUCUUUUGUCAUUGCGCAUGAGGUACUGUAAGCAUAUGCUUCACACGUCCCGAUCGGGAAAUCGGUAAGUAAAUGAAUGGGUCUUGCCCUAUUAAAGAGAGCCCUAAACUGAGAAUGAAUCUUUGACCUCUUGGCCUUCCCCCCCACUUGCUGCAACCCAGGAUGAAACCCACUUUCAGUCCAUUUUUCACAUCUUAACCGAGGGGACGUGGUCAGGCCACUAUGGAGGUUCGAAGAAAGGAGACGUAGUUUACGAAGUUGAGAAGAGCUAAGCUCGAUAGAGUUGUAGAGUGAGAGGUUCAACUCCUCCCGUCCCAGCCUUAGAAUGAAAGAGAUAUCUAGCUUCCGGCGCUUCCGUCCUCCCUCUCCUUUCAGUCGAGCUAUUUCAUCCCUCUCCUUUCAGUCGAGCUAUUUCAUCCCUCUCCUUUCAGUCGAGCUAUUUCAUCCCUCUCCUUUCAGUCGAGCUAUUUCAUCCCUCUCCUAACCGCUCCGUGGGAGCAAGUCUGAUUCCACUAAAAGGACUUCCUAUGGUCGAGUAACUUCUUCCGUAUUCAAAGUGAGUCCGUCUCGUCUUUGUCAAGUGACUUGGGAUCCAUUUACUGAAUUAUGUGCAAUCCCCCAUAGAAAUCCGCUUAUCAUUUAAGAACGAGCAAUUGCCUCAUGGGGCAAGAGGGCUAGCUAGGUUCAUGAAUUAGAUCUUUCGUCACUUCCUCUUAGCCAUAUUCACCCUUGGGAAACCCCGCUUCACGUCUUAUUUAUGAUGGAUGAGCUUUUUCCCGUUCUUGGAUGAAAGCCUAAACAGCAAAAUGGCAGGUAGAAGAAAAGGGGAGGACAGUCACACCAAUCGUCGGCUUGAUUAGAGUCUUGUCUUUCUUACCGCGGAGUGGGGCAGAGAGAUUCUUGCUAGUUUCACCGGCAGCGACUGUUAAGGAGCGCUAACCCUUCGGAUAAAUCCUCCGGGGCCACUGUCCCAUUACUUUUUUCGAAUAAAUUACCUUUAUCUAUUCUUAUCUAUCCUAUGAGUAAAGUGAAAGAGAGUUUCUACAGCGUAGAAGGCAUCAAAAUUCAAUUCUUCCUUUAACACUCAAAAUAGCGGGAUUUCUCUUUCGGAAUAUUUCUCGGCCGUAGUAGGAGCAUUCCUUUGAUUUAGUAGGGUUUCAGACGACGGAGUCUGACCUUGCGACUCCCAAUUUCUGACUUUCCCUUUGGAUGAGAAAUAGUCUUUGAACUCGUUUUCAUUCUCGGCGUCUCCGUUGUUUAGUAGAAUGCGAGACCAUAGGCGUAUUGAUCAUUCAAAGAAGAUUUCGAAGGCAGGCUCAAAGCAAAGAAUGAUCGAAUAAUAUUAAUAUUGAUCGGGGCAUCAUAAUCCGUGGUUCUUGAAUGAAAUGGAUAGGGAGCCAAGGCUAAAAGCCUAAAUCAAGAAUGGGCGAAAGGGAGUUCCCCCUGUCUUUCCCCUGUGAGACCAGUUUCAUCCGUGGCAGCAGUUGCUUCUUUAUUAAGUCGCGCUGACUAUGCAUCAUUAUAGAGCGAGGCAAAUGGCCUUUCUUCAAACCUUUGAUUGUGACAGAGAAAAAGAGAAAGAAGGCAUUCUGUCGGACGAGAAAGAACCGCAUCAAGGGCUAGAACAAGGACGUAAGUAAGGGCACCAAGCACUAUUCUUAUUUGGAUCGGGUAUCCAUUCUAUAUGAGGGUAGACCGAGUUGGGGCGAGCUCCACUGAGUGAAUUGGGAUCAGGUCGUCGGAUUAUGAGUGUUGAAGUAAUGGAAUGAAUAUGCGCUAACCCUAGAAAACGAGAUCGACUAGGACUAUUAGUUUGCGCGAACAGGGGACGAGAUGAAAGAGGGUCGGAGGGGUUUCAGGGCAGGUGGGAAUUAGUGGAAGAAAUCACAGACUAAAACGAUCUAAAAACUCCCAUCAAGCAUCAUGAAAAUUCUUUGAACCUCGUUCAUUGAUAGUAAUCCUUACCAGUUAGGCGCCUGACGAUCCGCCCGAACAUAAGCACUGAAGAAAGAGGAGCAAGAUAGGUGGCUUCCUC
rnacentral:lncRNA from 1 species